AAAUAAUAAUACAUUUUGUUUACUUGCUUAAUGGAACAUGUUAGUCACUAAUCAGAAAAUUCAGGUGAGCAGCAUAUUGACUGCGUGUAACAGCUCCAGUUCUUCAGCUCUCCUUUAUUCACGUCUGCUGCCACAGAGCAUUCUUGUGGCUUCCCACUCCUCUCUAGAUACCAGCCACAUUUCCUGGUUUGUACAGUGAGAUGUGUGCAGGUCAGACAGAAGAGAUUUGGAAAAUCAUGUACAUCUCCAUCCAGGCUCUUGAUCUUUUAUCACGGCCAUAACCAUAUGCCUGAGCAAGCCUUCUAUAGUCUAAAAGUCAUGCCUGUAUUCUGCUUUGGAGUCUGUUUGUAUGGAGCCAGAUGUAGAGCCAAGGUGCCCUAGUCAGGAAAGCUGAGGCCAUCCUAGGUUAGCUGCCAUCCAGAUGAAUUCCAGAUAUAUAAGUUGAGUCUAGCCCAAGUGAACUCCACCUCACAAACACAUGACCUAAUUAUGUAUAUCUUGCUGUAGAUCACCGAAUGUUUCGUAUUGUUAGAAUAUAUACUGAUAUAAUAUCUUCAUAUCAAUAUCUAGAAAAUGCAACUUUAAAUUUCAUUAGACUUCCCAGUGUGUUUGUAAAAUUUUAAAUAUAGUGAGCAGCUGGGACUUGAACCGACACCCAUAUGGGAUGCUGGCACUGCAGUUGGCAGCUUUACCUGCUAUGUCAUAGUGCUGGCCCCUUCCUAUGCAUUGAAAGCAUGUACAUAUUAACUUUCUCGCAUUUUAGUAGAAAAUGACCUAUAAGUGUUAUUUAAUUUUACUUAUCACAGUAAAGAACCAGUGUUAGCAAGUGGGCAUUAAGACUUGCUCAAGGGGCUGGCACUGUGGCAUAGAAAGUUAAGUCACCACAUGCAGUGCCAGCAUUCCACACGGGCACCAGUUUGAAUCCCAGCUGCUCCAUUUCCCAUCCAGCUCUCUGCUAGUGCUCCUGGGAAAGCAGUGGAAGAUGGUCCAAUUCUUUUUGGGCCUCUUCUACCCAAUGGGAAACCCAGAAGAAGCUGCUGGCUACUGGCUUUGGCCUGGCCCAGUCCCGGCUGUUGCAGCCAUUUGGGGAGUGAACAAGUGGAUGGAGGUUUUUGCUUCUCUCUCUCUCUUGCUCUUUAUCUCCCCUUCUUCCUCCUCUUUUUGCUCUCUCCCCUCUAACUCUGCCUUUCAAAUAAAGGAAUAAAUCUCUUUUUUUUAAAGAGUUUUUCAGAAUUUUCUGAACAUUUCAUUUUCUCAUCAAAAUAUCACUAAUCUCCCUUAACUCAAGAUCAGGUUUCCUGAAAAAUUGUCAGUUGGUCACAUUUCUUCUUUUCACAUGAUAUGGGAUAAAGACUUUUGCUUAUAAACAUAUUUAAAGUGACUUUUGCAGUCUCCUUUCCCCCUUAUAAACAUCCCCAUUGCAUAAGGCCACUAUAGACCUUAGCCUGCUGAACUUCCUAUAGCUCCCCACCUCUCUUCUGUGUUGGACCUUGAACAUGUGCCCUCCCUUUAAAUUCUGUACUUUGAUAAAAUUCCUUUUAUAAUCAAUAGUCAUAACUCCCAAUGCAAUCAUUUUGAGUCUAUGGAUAUUUUCUCUGAAGUCAUGAUGUUUCCAUGUUUGGAAAAAGAAACCUUUUUCACAAGUGUUUUUCUUGCGAAUCAUUAUUCCAAAAAUGUAUUUUUCCCUAUGUAUUUUUUAAAAUCUUUAUUUAUUUGAAAGGCAGAGUUACAGAGAGAGGUCUUCCAAUCCACUGGUUCUCUCCCCAGAUGGCCAUAAUGGCCAGAGCUGCACUGAUCCGAAGCCAAGAGCUUCUUCCAGGUCUCCCAUGUGGGUACAGAGGUCCAAGCACCUGAGCCAUUUUCUACUGCCUUCCCAGGCCAUAGCAGAGAACUGGAUUGGAAGGGGAGCAGCUGGGACUUGAAGCGGCACCCAUAUGGGAUGCCGGCACUGCAGUUGGCAGCUUUACCUGCUAUGCCACAGUGCUGGCCCCUCCCUAUGUAUUGAAAGCAUAUACUGUAUUCUCAUUUAUAACAAACUUAUAUUAAUAAAGCUCUUGAAUUCUAAACAGUUUCUUGUAUCAUGUCAUUUAAUUUUGAAGUUCUUCAGCAUGGAAAGGAAUACAGAAAGCAAAUUUUGAUAACAGUUAUUUAUUUAUUUAUUUUAUUUGUUUAGCACCAGUGCUUAUUUCAAGGAGAUGGGCUCAAGGACCAGGGUGUGUCCAGUGGAGUCCCAGGGUAUCCUGUUUCUCACAUGACCUUCAGGUUAAUGGAACUUUUUUUUAAAGAUUUAUUUAUUUAUUUGAAAAUCACAGUUACAUACAGAGAGGAGAGGCAGAGAGAGCGAGAGAGAGAGAGAGAGAGAGAGAGAGGUCUUCCAUCUGCUGGCUCAUUCCCCAAUUGGCUGCAAUGGCCAGAGCUGCACCAAUCUGAGGCCAGGAGCCAGUAGCUUCCUCCAGGUCUUCCUACAUGGGUGCAGGGGCCCAAGGAUUUUGACCAUCUUCUGCUUUCCCAGGCCACAGUAGAGAGCUGGAUUGGAAGUGGAGGAGCUGGGACUUAAACCUGUGCCCAUAUGGGAUGCUGGCAGUGCAGGUGGUAGCUUUACUUCAAUCCUCAUGAGUUUUUUGUGUUUGGCCAUAUGUGUAUAUUUUUUGUGUUUGGAGCAUAUGCUCCAAGCGGCAGGGGUCACCAGUCUUGAUGUGUCCUGUGAGAGCCCCCCCAGCCAUUAAACUGAGCUGGCCCAAGGUUCCAGAGAUGCCCCGCAUCCUGCGAUCAGGUACCACCAGCUUCCCCUUCCCCCACUCUGGACACCUGGCCCCACACACUUACCAUUCCCAGGUGUCCAAGAUGGGCUGUGUUGUGGUGGAAAAGGUCAGAGAACAGCAGAUGCCGCACUAGCUCCUGAGUCUCCCAGCGGCAGAGACCCCUCCUUGGACCUCUCUCCUCCAGGAAUUUGGAACUCUAUGGUGUCACAAUCCAAUGUGAUUAUGUGGCAGUGAUGUCACCGUGCCUGAUUGGACAGCUCACAUAGCCGUCAGCACACAGGACCCAGAAGUCACAACAAAUCAGCAUCUUUAAAGCAGGGACGUGUACUCCAGGCCACUCCAGAUGGUAGAGAGAUGAGGCCUGGAUUCAGGUGCCAAGGGCCUCCUCCAGGGCUGCACCCUUUCACCAGUGGGAUCCUGCCACCUGCUGGGACCCUCCUGCCUCCCCACAGGUCUACCUGGGAGAAUCCCACCUGGAGGCUGCAGUAACCUGCUUAGGUCAUGAGAUCCAAGGCCAAGAAAUUCAUGGUGCUGCCCAUGAGCCCAGCGCCGCCCACAGUGGAGCAGUUCCCGGAGGACGUGCACGGAGCACGGGCCAAGACCUUGUCUUCACCGCGCUGGCCCUGGAAGACCCCCCAGGAGACCCCAGGAGGAGUGAGGACCCCGAGGCUCAGAGGGAGCGGCUGUACCAGCAGAGCCAGGCCUAAGUGACCGCCAACGUAUGGCUGCAGCGGGCAGGUGAGGGGCUGAGGCAGCAGUGCCAGGGCCUGCAGUGAGCCGGCGCCAAGCUGGAACUGGACGUUGGCCACGUGAUGCGCUUAGUGCUGCCCGACGCCUCUGCCGCUACCUCCUCUGGCUGACCUGCGCCCUUCCCCGCCCCCGGCACAGGCUGGACCCUGUAUGGGCGCCUGAGACCACCUCCCCCCAGCGGACUCUGCCCAUCUCAUGGGGCCACUCUGCUCCCUUGCCUGGCGCUGGAUCAGCGCACCACUCCCUGGCUGAGAGGAGGAGCCGGCAGCCCUGGCGGGGCCCCGCAGGCCUCAUGCUGCCACUCCUGGGCAGGAGCCUCCCCUUCAUCACUGCGGGAGAGGCUGAUGUGGGGGACAGCCGAGCGUCCACGGGCUGGCAGGGCCUCUGUCCCUGGGAAGGUGUCCCUGCAUCCUGGGGGGCAGGACUGAGCCCCAGGGCCACAGGAGUUUCUCUUCCGCUGCCUGAGCUUCAGAGACCCCAGCCACAGCCUCUCAGCCGGGGCAGAGACUCCCCAGCCCACUAGGCACUGUCGGACCUGACAGAGUCUGGGCCACAGCCAAGGACGGAGCUGGACAGAGACGUCCCAGUGGGACAGUCUUCCUGGGCCAGUGGGGACCGCUGGCCUCCCUGCUCGUGGCCGGUGUGGGAGGCCCACAUCUGCCCCACUCAUGCAGCAGAGGCAACUGGACAGCUCUGUUUUUUAAAGUUGUGCAACACUGAUGCAGGGUAUGUGGUCCUUCCGCCAGCCGGCGGCUUUACAUGGGGUGCUGGCGGGUGGCGCGCUAUGUACACAUGGGACAGAUGCUGCAGGGCGGCGU